UGGGGAAUAUUGCGCAAUGGGGGAAACCCUGACGCAGCAACGCCGCGUGAAGGAAGAAGGUUUUCGGAUCGUAAACUUCUUUGAUUAGGGAAGAAUAAAUGACAGUACCUAAAAAACAAGCCACGGCUAACUACGUGCCAGCAGCCGCGGUAAUACGUAGGUGGCGAGCGUUGUCCGGAAUUACUGGGUGUAAAGGGCGUGUAGGCGGGACUGCAAGUCAGAUGUGAAAUACCGGGGCUCAACCCCGGGGCUGCAUUUGAAACUGUAGUUCUUGAGUGCAGGAGAGGAAAGUGGAAUUCCUAGUGUAGCGGUGAAAUGCGUAGAUAUUAGGAGGAACACCAGUGGCGAAGGCGACUUUCUGGACUGUAACUGACGCUGAGGCGCGAAAGCGUGGGGAGCGAACAGG
rnacentral:rRNA from 2 species